CAGUGGGGUAACACCUACUGCUCUUGCCCCAUGCUCCCCUCUCCAGAUCGGACAAUGGACUGUGUUGGCCUGAUGGGGAGGAGAUGGUUCCCGCCUGCUCCCAGCCUCACUGGCCCAUGGCCCCAGGCUGUGGUCCCAGAGCAGUGCCACGCAGAGGCUGCAGGUAACUGAGCCCUGCCAUACCUGCCCUUUGCUUCCCUCUGCCAGGGGGUUGCAGUCAGUCUCAGCCUCUGAAGUUCCCAGGCCUUUCUUCCAGCUGAGAAAAUGUUCAGCACUUUAAUUAGAAGCAGGUAAUGUUUUUGCACCCUGCCCCUCCUUCCUAGCUGAAGAAAGGAUUUUUUGCAUCCAGUAGAUUGAUGAUGUGAAGUUCGUGGGCUCGUCUGGGAAAGGUGUCUUGUAAGUUCCCUUUGAGGGUUAGAACUGAGAGAUCGGAGAGAGAGCGAUUGUCUUGGGAGAAACGUGUCCCCACAGGUUGUUGGGUAUUCUGGUCUUCGAUAGAUUUCCAGAGUGUGUUCAUUCUGGUGCGCGGUUGUUGUUUGGUCUCUCCUGUGUAUUUUCCAUCAGGGCGUUUGGUACACAACUGAGUGAGACAUAUAACAUUUCUGGAGGUGAGGUAUAAGAUCAGGAAUGUCGAUGGCUCUGUUGUGGGGUGUAGUAACUGUGGGACUGCUGGAGAUGUGUUGGCAAGUUUACGUUUCUUGUCAUGGCAUGGUCUGGAUCCACAUGGUGUGGUUUGGGCCCUAGGAAGUUUACUUCUGGGGGUGAGUGCUUGUUUAAAGACUGGGAUGGGGGGUUCUGGCCAGAUCUCUUUAAGAAUUAGGUCAUCUUCUAGAAUGAGUUGCAGUUGUUUGCGGAUUCCCCAUGUAGGUCCCAGGGAGGGAUGGUCUGUCAUAAAUAAAGGCGUGCAUUUUGUGAGAGUUUUAUUUUUGUACUGCCGCAGUUCUUUGCGUGGCAUCCAGGUGGCUCUUCCAAAAGGGCAGUAUCUCUCCUGGAGGAGUGUCCUUGUUGGGUGAAAGCCAGGAGAGCAGGCAGGGACGCUGUCUGAGCUCUGCCGACCCUGCCCUCGUGUCUGUGGUGCUGAGUUUCAGGGACCGGGGAGUGUGGCGGGAAAAGGAGGGGGAGUUUAGUGUCUCCUCCAGCCAGUUUUUCCCGCUGAAGUCUUUUUUAGCUUGUCUUGCCAAAGUAAAUGGUGUGGCAGAAAACUGCAGUCUGGAGUAUCAGGGUGAAAACAGGCAGCUGGGUUGAUGUGGGGCUGGCUAGGCAGGGAUAUCACUCGGGGCCACGUACCAGGUUUCAAUGACAAUUAAAUUGAACGAUAACGUCUAGCUGUUUGCACGGAGGAAACAAGUGGUGUGAGCCAGCCCUGGUGCUGUGGUGUUAACACCUGUUCUUGGUCCCGUCUGGCCCAGAACAUUUGACUGUCAUAACUUGAGACCCCCCCCAACCCCGAACCCGACCCCCUGAGCUGGGUCUGCCCUGAUGGGCACUUAACUGCAGGGUAGGAAGGACCUUGGUGACAAAUUCAAACAUGUACGGCCAAGUGAGGUCAGUUGAGGUAAGUGGCAGUCAAUUGCCUUAAGUAGCAGCAAAGACACCAUCUCCAGCCUGGCCAGGCCCUUUGCCUGCGCUAGACCCUCCCUUGUGUGCUCACAUGUUCCAACUCCCAGAUUGUCAACACAUUUUCUAACACUUGUGUCUUUCCCAGUAGAUCGAGCUUGGGAGUACACACGUGGUGCAUUUCCCUCCCAUUCAGCACUGAGCAUCGGUCCAACAAGGCUUGAAGAAUGAAACAGCAGAGAACAAAAACCUGGGGAACCUGGACAACAGCCUAUUUUCUCUGUUUGUUUCUGUGCGCUGCAUCUGAGUGUGAGCCCGUCGACACCACCGGACACAAGUGUAGAAAUGAAUCCAUUACAGCGCCUGCGCACACUGCUGUGCUCCUGCACUUUGUUGUUCAAGACACGGUUGUGGAUCAUUUAAAAGCUACUCUUAACUGGCAGACUGAUUCGCAGGAAGUUGUGCAUGCCUAUCACGAAGGCAAGGACCAGCUGGACAGACAGGCAGAGAGGUUUCGUGGGCGAACCAAGGUCUUUCCCAAGGACAUUCGCAGUGGCAAUGCAUCUUUGUUGCUGAAAAAUAUAUCCUGGAAUGAUACACAAGCUUAUUGCGCUUACUUUUUCCUCAGUGAUGAUGGAAAGCAUAGUGAAUGCUGCAGCAUCCAACUUAACGUGUCAGGGAAGGGCGCUGCAGUCCCAGUGCUGGGAGCUGUGCACUGUCUCGCUGCCGUCCUGCUGCUGUACAUGGUGUUGUGAGCACGUGAAGAUAAUCUAUCUUCCUGCAGAGCCCAGAUGCAAAUGCUGACUUGUGAGCCCGAGCACUGAGGAACCCAAAGUGCCUCUCGCUUCAUCUUUCCCAGCACCUCUACGGUACGUGACCUGCCUGCUGCCGCGACUGCCGGGGCCCAGUGGAGCGGACGGUGGGACGUCUGCCAAGAGCUGCUGCUUCAGGAAGUCUCCCCAGGACCUGGCAAGGCAGAAGUCCCACCGGAGAGGAGGCCUUAAAAGUGAUUCCUGGUGGAGGGAUGGGUUGGCGGGUGCAAAUGCUAGUAGGGGGAGGGGUGUAUGUGUUUUAUGUGUGCAAUAAUACAUUUUCUCCUGGUUUAUAGAAAAAUGGAGGGAGGGGGAAAUUAAUAUGUAUAAAUUCAUAUAAUUUUUUCCCCAUCUAUUAGUGGAAGGGAAAACAUUUAUAUUAAUGUAUUCAUACUGGGGGGCGGGGUUCUACAAACCAAGGGAAAAUGCAUCUUCCUCUGACAGACACGAUUUCUAAGUCUAUAAGGGCCUAAGAGAGCCUUGAGGACACUAAGACCCAACAAAGUUCCUAAUUCCAGCAUGAGAUUUAUAUAUAAACCUUUAGCUAUUGGUAGAAAUAAACUUUUUUUUACAAAAAAUAUAAAUUUAUACAAUUGGAUGUUAGGAAAAGUUUCUGCACUUUAAUUUACCAGUCAAGUGUUUAAAAUGGCACUACCACUUUAUUCAUAAAGUAGACACUUUUGAAUGAUUCCCAGAUGCUGCUCCCAAGUUUGGGAUGUAGCGGUAAAGGCCAUGCCAGGACCAAAGCAAGGAUGUGGAGCAGAGGAGCAGGUGGGGAAAGGCUGCAGGUGGAGCUUUGUCAUAGGACAGUGGAAGAGAUUCAUUUGGAGACAAUGGCCCGUAUCCAGGUCCACCUUGAGAUGGGCCCCUAGGAUCUAAUGCAGGGGUGGGCAAAAUACAGCCCACAGGCUGGAUCUGGUGUGCCAGCAGAUUGGAUCUGGCCCACAUGUGGACAGCCACCAAUUCAUUGCAUCUGGCUCACAGGUGGCUGGCAGGUCCAGGUACUGUGUGGUGCCAAGUGGCUGGGCAAGCCUGUUUCCACCCAGCACCAUCAGCCCAGCAUCAGCUGUGGGCCUGAGCAGGGUUUCCACCACAGCAGGUGAGUGGCGGUGUCAGCUAUGGAUACUACUGGCAGAUUCAGGGGUCUGAACCCAGAACCUGCCAGCUGUGUCCACAGCUGCUGCCGCCGCCCCCGCCCCAGCGCAGAGCCCCGACCUGGAACCUGAUGCUGGCACGAGCCGUGGCUGCGGUCAGGAGCUGCGCCUGCGGCAGACGGGUGUCAGCUGUGACACCGCUGGCGACUCCGCGUCCAGGCUCCAGAGCCUGCUGGCUGUGCCCACCGCUGAUGCCACCACCUGCCCGCUGUGGCCAAAUCCCCAUCGUGGUCCUCUGCUGAGCUUUGGGGCUGCUGGCGAACGACAGCUCUGGCCAGGUUCUGGAGGGAAGGAUGGAGAUGGAGAGGAGAGGAGAGAGAGGGCAUUGGUGUUGAAUGGGGCUAGCUCUAUUAUGCUGUUACAUUAAUUAAUAGCUGAAAGUUUAAAAAGUUCAACGCCUAAUGAGUCCGGGCCUAAUGAGUUCAGUUACUCACUGGAGCAGACCCAAAUGUUUCCACUCGGGGACUGUGUUUCUCCUCAGUGCUACCUCCAUGUCCAAUGGACAACUUUCAAAAACCACCGGGAGUACUAUUUACAAAUCUGGGUGUAUGUGUGUUUUGUUGUUUAUGUAUCUGUGUGUGUGUGCGUGUGUGUGUUAUAAUUUAUCAUGUUUUGUAUUAAAAAGGGAAGGAGAAAUUGAUAUAUGUAUUGAUACAUAUUACUUUUUCCCCCCCUCUCCCAUUUUUCUGUGAACCAGGGGAAAAUGCAUCUUCCUCUGACAAACACUAUCUCCAAGUCCCUAAGGGCCUAAGAAAACCUUGAGGACACCAAGACCCCCCUCCCUAAAAUUUCAUAAUUCUAACACAUCUAUCUUUAUCUAGAGAUAGAUAGCUGUCUAUCCAACUUCAAUAAGCUAAGGACUUAGUGAGCAAUGCCCUAUGGGAUUAUGGACUGCAGGGAAAGAGUGUGGAUGAAGAGUGGUCGUUCCUCAAGGACACGAUCCUCGGUGCACAGAAGUUGUCUAUACCGCUACGGCAAAAAGGUGGCACAGCCGCCAGAAGUUCAUCUUGGCUCAAUAGGGAAGUCCUAGGUCUUCUGAAAAAGAAAAGGGAAGCUUACCAGUGAUGGAGCUAGGCAUAGGCCCCAAGGAGAACUACAUAAGAAUGGCCCAGACCUGCAGGGAGCAGAUUAGAAAAGCACAGGCGGUGACCGAAUUCAGGCUGGCAACCGAAAUCAAGGGCAAUAAGAAGUUCUUCUAUAGGUAUAUAGGUAACAGGAAAAAAACCAGUGGAAACGUAGGACCACUUCUCAGUGCAUCUGGACAUCUGAUUGCCAACACCAAGGAGAAAACCGAACUCCUAAACAAAUACUGUGCAUCUGUAGUCCACCAAUGUAAGACUUCAUAGGCUGCCGAAUGCAAAUAUGACACAGAAGAGUCGCAGGAGGGCUGAUCACUUACCACAGUCAAUGUAGAGCUGGUGAAAGAACAGCUAGGGAGGAUGGAUACCUAUAAGUCAGCAGGACCAGAUGAACUCCAGCUGGGAGUGCUGAAUGAACUAGCCAAAGUCAUCACAGGACCGCUGGCCAACCUCUUCAGGAAUUCGUGGCACUCGGGAGAGGUCCCAGAAGACUGGAAGAGGGCCAAUGUUGUGCCCAUCUUCAAGAAGGGAAGGAGAGAGGACCCAGGGAAAUACAGGCUGAUCAGCCUGACCUCCACUCCCAGGAAAAAUCCUUGAAAAAUUUGUCAAGGAGUCCAUAUGUGAUUCAUAGAUUCAUACAUUCAUAGAUGUUAGGGUCGGAAGGGAACUCAAUAGAUCAUCGAGUCCGACCCCUGUAUAGGCAGGAAAGAGUGCUGGGUCUAGAUGACCCCAGCUAGAUACUCGUCUAACCUCCUCUUGAAGACCCCCAGGGUAGGGGAGAGCACCACCUCCCUUGGGAGCCCGUUCCAGACCUUGGCCACUCGAACUGUGAAGAAGUUCUUCCUAAUGUCCAAUCUAAAUCUGCUCUCUGCUAGCUUGUGGCUAUUAUUCCUUGUAACCCCUGGGGGCGCCUUGGUGAAUAAAUCCUCACCAAUUCCCUUCUGUGCCCCCGUGAUGAACUUAUAGGCAGCCACAAGGUCGCCUCUCAACCUUCUCUUGCGGAGGCUGAAGAGGUCCAGGUGCCCCAGUCUCUCCUCAUAGGGCUUGGCCUGCAAGCCCUUAACCAUACGAGUUGCCCUUCUCUGGACCCUCUCCAGGUUAUCCGCAUCCCUCUUGAAGUGCGGCGCUCAAAACUGCACGCAGUACUCCAACUGCGGUCUGACCAGCGCCCGAUAGAGGGGAAGUAUCACCUCCCUGGACCUAUUCGUCAUGCAUCUGCUGAUGCACGAUAAAGUGCCAUUAGCUUUCCUGAUGACUUCAUCACACUGCCGGCUCAUGUUCAUCUUGGAGUCCACUAGGACUCCAAGAUCCCUUUCCACUUCUGUGCCACCCAGCAGGUCAUUUCCUAGGCUGUAGGUGUGCUGGACAUUUUUCCUCCCUAGGUGCAGCACUUUGCAUUUCUCCUUGUUGAUACGCUAGUAGAAGGCAAAUUUCAGAAUGACAUCCAGCACGGUUUUGUUGCAGGUAGGUCCAACACUGUGAAUUCGUGCUUCCAUGCAAGCUGCAGCCCCGCUGCUCUGCAAAUCUGUCGGGACGUGGGACAGCUGGCCAAAGACAACUGGCUCUGCUCCACCUCCACCUCCUUGCUGAAAGCAUCAAAUGCACAACUCUAUUGCCUAUGUCUGGACGGGGAGAGGAGAGGGCCAGUUUCACAGCUGCAACCUCCCUUCAGCACCAGGGGAUGCAGAGGCUGCUGUCUGCCCGCUGCAUCCCUGUCCCCGUGGCAGGGCAGGGGCUGCAGCUGGGAGACACUAGGCACUUCAUGCACUUACCCUGUUCACAGGGAAACUGUUAGUUCAACUAUAAGAGGUAGGUGUUGAACGGGGCUGGCUCUGCAAUUCUGUUGUGUUUAUUAAUAACUGAAAGUUAAAGGCCUAAUGAGUCUGGGCAAAGCAGUUCAGUCGCUCGCUCGGCCUGACCAGCACGUUUCCACUCAGGGACACGUUUCUUCCCAGUGUUACCUCGUGUCUAGCACACACCUGCCAAGAACCACUGGGGCACUGUUUAUAAAUGUGUGUGCGAGAUGGAUGUGUGAGUAUGUGUUCUUAUUUACGUGUGUUUGCAUAGGUCUGUGUAUAUGUAUGUGUGUAUAGUAUCUCUUACCCUGGUUUGUAGAGAAAUGGAGGGAGGGGGAAAAUUGCUGUGUAUAACACUGACGGGUCCCAGGGCCAAUUAAUCAUUGGAACGGUCUCAAGGCUCGGUCCUCCAUCAGUCCGGCCUUGGGAAGCAGGCUGGGGCCCGUGCGGACUUGCUAACACUGCUGAGACCUCAGCAAGGGAACGGGAGGAAGGGACUUGUUGUUGGAGCCCUGCGCUGAAUGCUUGUCCUGCUUUUGUUCUGUUCAUUUUCUAGCUGUUAUAUUGGGUAAUAAAGUGCAUUUGCUUCA